GUCCAAGGUUCCCAGCAGCAACACACGCACACACAGAGUGAAUAGUUAGCAGGGAUGUUAAACAGUAUCCUGAAAAAGAAGAGAGCAACCUGAGUGGAUAGAAGUCAACUUAGAGGAGGAGCCGUCUGUGCUGGCUCAUGGUUGCGGGCUGCAUGGCUUGGACCUGUGGUGAGCCAGAGCACAGUGGCCGGGUGUGUGGUGGAGCACAACUGUCGGCCACGGCAGCCAGGAAGAGAGAAAGACAGGGGCCAGGGACAAGGUGUGGUCCCCCACGGCGUGCACCCAAGGACCCAUGUCCUCCAACUAGGUUCACCCGCUGCAGUCCCACCACCUCCCAAUAAUCCAUUCAGCGGUGAGUCCCGGGAGCCAGCCCUCAUGUCCAGUCACUCUGAGCAUUGCUGCCCCGGGGAAGAAGUCUUCAACACACGAAACCCUGGGGGACAUUUCAGAUCCAGCCAUAACAGCCAGCAGCGUGUGCGCCACAGCAGGGGACUCCUGAGGCCCACAGGCAGGCGUGUCCGCCAGGCUCCUGCCCUCCACGGCCCUGCAGCUGCUGGCUGGGCGCACCGCGGUCCCUCCCCACACCUAACUGUCCCUGUGUGCCGUUUCUCUGCAGGCCCAGGCCUUGUCCUCUGCCAGCAAGUUUGAAGCCGAGUUAAAAGCUGAGCAAGAUGAGCGGAAGCAGGAGGAGGAGAAGAGAAGGCUCCGCCAGGCAGCCUUCCUGGAACUCAAGGCUGCUUUCAGCGCAUAGUCCAGCAGACCCUGACCUCCGCCCACAGCGGUGCCUCCACGGUGCCAGGAGGGAUGGCCCAGCAUCUUUACCCCUGCAGGCCCCUCCCAGCCUCCUGCCUGGCCUCAGGCCUCUCCUCAGCCUCACUUGGGUGGCAAGGGGCUGCCGCCCCCCCACUGUCCUGCCCCUGCAAGAGGGUCAUGGGAUGGCCAAGUCCCCCUUGCUCACCUCUCUGCCCUCCCCUGAAGCCGGGUUCAGCCUUCCCCUUCCCUUGCUCCACGCCAGUGAGUAGCCUGUUGUGCUCAUUUGUAUAGAAAUUCUUUCUUUUGUGGUCCUCAGAGGACAUGUUAGCUCGCCAUUUUCUUGGGAAAUCCUUCUCUCCUCCCAUUUCUGUUGUCUGUCUUGGUCAGAUUCUGCCAGUUGCUUUUGUGUGGCCUUCUGUAGUGGUGGCAGGAUCCAAGGAGGCCAGGUGGACCACUGCCCACCCGCUCUCCAGCACGGGGAGCUGCAGCAGGAGAGGACUCAGCAUAAAGACCGGGAGCACUGGCCUGCAGCACCCCCCUGGCCCUCCCUCUUCAUUCCCCUCCUCCGUGUCUCCCUCCUUCUGUCUUCCACACCUAAGUGCCUGCUACUCACCUGUGAGAAGGAAGCCAUCACUAGAAGUACUGCUAAUGAGUAGAGGGGUUCCAGGUCAACUCUAACUCUGCAGAUCAUAUUACAGUGGACCCCUCAGGUUCCCACGAGGUCGGGGACUCAACCAGUGCCUUUUGAAAUCCCCAAAGUCAUGGCCAUCCUCUCCAUCGAGCCAAUUUCCAACAUCUGCUUCAAGGUAUUGAGGUAAAUAUGUUCUUACCCCUAUGAUAGAUUUUUAUAUUUGUGAGUUCUUGGGAUUGCUCACACGGACCAGGGUCUUGUUGUAUUUUUAAAAAGAAUAUUUCCUAUUGUCAUAUUUAUUACUUCACUUUUGCAACUUCUCUCUUUAGGGUAAAGAAACCAUCUGCAUUUCUACCUUAAAGCUCUUUCUUUUUAAAUAAACUGUGCAAAUGAACUUGGCCAUCACAACAAUGUACCUGAGUCUUC
rnacentral:lncRNA from 1 species